AGAUUGAACGCUGGCGGCAUGCUUUACACAUGCAAGUCGAACGGUAACAGGCCGCAAGGUGCUGACGAGUGGCGAACGGGUGAGUAAUGUAUCGGAACGUGCCCAGUCGUGGGGGAUAACGCAGCGAAAGCUGCGCUAAUACCGCAUACGAUCUAUGGAUGAAAGCGGGGGACCGUAAGGCCUCGCGCGAUUGGAGCGGCCGAUAUCAGAUUAGGUAGUUGGUGGGGUAAAGGCUCACCAAGCCAACGAUCUGUAGCUGGUCUGAGAGGACGACCAGCCACACUGGGACUGAGACACGGCCCAGACUCCUACGGGAGCAGCAGGUCGGGGAAUUUUGGACUAAGUGGGACGAAAGCCUAGACUACCGAGCAAUCGGCCGCGUGAGUGAGU
rnacentral:rRNA from 1 species